AGCGAACGCUGGCGGCAGGCCUAACACAUGCAAGUCGAACGAACCCUUCGGGGUUAGUGGCGGACGGGUGAGUAACACGUGGGAACGUGCCUUUAGGUUCGGAAUAACUCAGGGAAACUUGUGCUAAUACCGAAUGUGCCCUUCGGGGGAAAGAUUUAUCGCCUUUAGAGCGGCCCGCGUCUGAUUAGCUAGUUGGUGAGGUAAUGGCUCACCAAGGCUACGAUCAGUAGCUGGUCUGAGAGGAUGACCAGCCACAUUGGGACUGAGACACGGCCCAAACUCCUACGGGAGGCAGCAGUGGGGAAUCUUGCGCAACGGGCGAAAGCCUGACGCAGCCAUGCCGCGUGGAUGAUGUAGGUCUUAGGAUUGUAAAAUCCUUCCACCGGUGGAGAUAAUGACUGUAGCCGGAGAAGAAGCCCCGGCUAACUUCGUGCCAGCCGCCGCAGUAAGAC
rnacentral:rRNA from 1 species